AACGAACGCUGGCGGCAUGCCUAACACAUGCCAGUCGAACGAUUGCCCUCGGGUGACAGUGGAGCACGGGUGCGUACCGCGUGGUAAUCUGCCCUUAGGUUCGGAAUAACAGCUGGAUACGGCUGCUAAUACCGGAUGAAUUCGCGAGAUCAAAGUUGUAUCGCCUGAGGAUGAGCCCGCGUUGGAUUGGGUGGUUGGUGGGGUAAAGGCCUCCCAAGCCGACGAGGCAGAGCUGAUCUGAUAGGAUGCUCAGCCAGACUGGAGCUGAGGCACGGACCAGACUCCGACGGAAGGGAGCAGAAGAGAGUAUUAUACGAGGGGCGCAAGCGUAGUGCAGCAGUGCCGCGUAAGAGGUGAAGGCGCUAGUAUUGUAAUGCUCUUUUACCCGGAAAGAUAAUGACUGUACCGGGAUAAUAAGCCCCGGCUAACUCCGUG
rnacentral:rRNA from 1 species